GACGAACGCUGGCGGCGUGCUUAACACAUGCAAGUCGAGCGGAAAGGCCCUGCUUGCAGGGUACUCGAGUGGCGAACGGGUGAGUAACACGUGGGUGAUCUGCCCUGCACUUCGGGAUAAGCUUGGGAAACUGGGUCUAAUACCGGAUAGGAGCCAUCUUUAGUGUGGUGGUUGGAAAGUUUUUUCGGUGUAGGAUGAGCUCGCGGCCUAUCAGCUUGUUGGUGGGGUAAUGGCCUACCAAGGCGGCGACGGGUAGCCGGCCUGAGAGGGUGUACGGCCACAUUGGGACUGAGAGACGGGCCAGACUCCGACAGGAGGCAGCAGUGGGGAAUAUUGCACAAUGGGCGCAAGCCUGAGGCAGCGACGCCGCGUGGGGGAUGAAGGCCUUCGGGUUGUAAACUCCUUUCGCUAGGGACGAAGCUUUGUUGUGACGGUACCUAGAUAAGAAGCACCGGCUAACUACGUG
rnacentral:rRNA from 1 species